UUACACUCUUGACCUCGGAUCAGGUAGGGAUACCCGCUGAACUUAAGCAUAUCAAUAAGCGGAGG
rnacentral:rRNA from 1 species